rnacentral:rRNA from 1 species
UACGUAGGGUGCAAGCGUUAAUCGGAAUUACUGGGCGUAAAGCGUGCGCAGGCGGUUAUGUAAGACAGUUGUGAAAUCCCCGGGCUCAACCUGGGAAUUGCGAUGGAGACUGCAAGGCUAGAAUCUGGCAGAGGGGGGUAGAAUUCCACGUGUAGCAGUGAAAUGCGUAGAGAUGUGGAGGAACACCGAUGGCGAAGGCAGCCCCCUGGGUCAAGAUUGACGCUCAUGCACGAAAGCGUGGGGGAGCAAACAGG